UCAGAGGCGAUGAAGGGCGUGCUAAUCUGCGAUAAGCGCCGGUAAGGUGAUAUGAACCGUUAUAACCGGCGAUACCCGAAUGGGGAAACCCAGUGUGACUCGUCACACUAUCAUUAACUGAAUCCAUAGGUUAAUGAGGCGAACCGGGGGAACUGAAACAUCUAAGUACCCCGAGGAAAAGAAAUCAACCGAGAUUCCCCCAGUAGCGGCGAGCGAACGGGGAGGAGCCCAGAGCCUGAAUCAGCAUGUGUGUUAGUGGAAGCGUCUGGAAAGGCGCGCGAUACAGGGUGACAGCCCCGUACACAAAAGCGCAUGUGCUGUGAGCUCGAUGAGUAGGGCGGGACACGUGGUAUCCUGUCUGAAUAUGGGGGGACCAUCCUCCAAGGCUAAAUACUCCUGACUGACCGAUAGUGAACCAGUACCGUGAGGGAAAGGCGAAAAGAACCCCGGCGAGGGGAGUGAAAAAGAACCUGAAACCGUGUACGUACAAGCAGUGGGAGCACCCUUUGGGGUGUGACUGCGUACCUUUUGUAUAAUGGGUCAGCGACUUAUAUUCUGUAGCAAGGUUAACCGAAUAGGGGAGCCGGAGGGAAACCGAGUCUUAAC
rnacentral:rRNA from 1 species